AACGAACGCUGGCGGCAGGCUUAACACAUGCAAGUCGAACGCCCGUAGCAAUACGGGAGUGGCGGACGGGUGAGUAACGCGUGGGAACGUGCCCUGAGGUACGGAAUAACUGCGGGAAACUGCAGCUAAUACCGUAUGAGCCCCUUACGGGGGAAAGAUUUAUCGCCUUGGGAGCGGCCCGCGUCGGAUUAGCUAGUUGGUGGGGUAACGGCUUACCAAGGCUUCGAUCCGUAGCUGGUCUGAGAGGACGAUCAGCCACACUGGGACUGAGACACGGCCCAGACUCCUACGGGAGGCAGCAGUGGGGAAUCUUGCGCAAUGGGGGCAACCCUGACGCAGCCAUGCCGCGUGAAUGAUGAAGGCCUUAGGGUUGUAAAGUUCUUUUGCCCGUGACGAUGAUGACGGUAACGGGAGAAUAAGCUCCGGCUAACUUCGUGCCAGCCGCCGCCGUAAGAC
rnacentral:rRNA from 1 species